UACGUAGGGGGCUAGCGUUGUCCGGAAUCAUUGGGCGUAAAGCGCGUGUAGGCGGUCCGGUAAGUCCGCUGUGAAAGUCGGGGGCUCAACCCUCGGAUGCCGGUGGAUACUGUCGGGCUUGAGUACGGAAGAGGCGAGUGGAAUUCCUGGUGUAGCGGUGAAAUGCGCAGAUAUCAGGAGGAACACCAGUGGCGAAGGCGAGUCUCUGGACAUUUCCUGACGCUGAGGCACGAAAGCCAGGGGAGCAAACGGG
rnacentral:rRNA from 1 species